rnacentral:tRNA from 1 species
AAGCCCGGGGACAUCAAUCCAAAAUCCGACUUGCAAUCGGACACACUCCAAAGCC